GUUCCACAAAGAAUAAACGUACUUAAAAAAUUAUAUGAAUUUUUCGAAGUGGGUUUUGAAACUGGAAUUAUUUCAUUACUUGGCUCCAUUUGAAGUAAUUCGAAGUCUGUCACUUAAUUUUUAUAUUAUUUUGUGUUUAUCGACAACAAAAAUAUAUAUCAUAGCGUAAGUUUUUAAAUAUAUUUUGUGCUGGAAAAAUUUAUAUUAAUUAAUGUAAAGUCUCACACUUUAUUAAAUCGCAUAUCAACGUCUGGUGAAAAUUCUCGCUCACGUCACCGCGUAAUGUACCGGUAAUGAGAAAUUAUGUGGUAAUUUUUGAAUAUUGAUAAGGACGUGGCUGUGGGUUAUAACGACUCUGCUCAAGCGCGCGAAUAUACAAAGCGUAUGCGGAAAAGAGUCGCAGAAGCUUUGAAUUCGUUGGGAGAAGGAGCUUUUUAAAGACUGGAAGGAUGGCCACAUUAUUUGGUGGAUUAUAAAGCAAAACUAAAAAGAAGAGUUGCUGCAGUACGUCUGUCUCAUAACUGUACUGGAGGUGGGCCUUCCAAUGUUCCACCCUUGGAUGCAUUGGAACGAAAAUUCUUGAGCAUUCUAGUGGCGGGUUUUGGGUCCGGUUUGUGUAAUGUACAAGUUGACCCAUUUACAAAUAUACCAACUACUAGUGGCAGUGCAUUGGGGUCAGAAAAUUUGGACACCGACUCUGAUGCAGUAAUGAUUGAGUGCACUGCAUCAGAGUCAGUGUCCCGAGGAGACAUACAUACAGAAGAGGAAAUAACUAUAGACACACAAGAAACAGGAAUUGAAGUACCUCAAGUAGAACUCAAAGUUCCUACAGAAGCCCCUUCGUCUGACCUGACACAUCAGUGUACAACAGGGAACUAUUAGUAUGGAGAAAGCUCGGACUACCUUAAUAGAUGUCGCAAGGUCACGACUGCAAGAACAGAAUAGACGGAUGCUGUUACAGAGCAAAUGCUCAAUACAUUAAUAAGGAUAGCUGAAUCAAUUAACAGAAGUUGGAGAACUCCAGAGGCGAGAAACGAGGCGCCUGGCAGCUAAAGCUUCAUUUAAUUCUGCACUUGAAGACUGAGACAGUUCGUGGCGAGUAUGAUGGAGUUGCAUUGUACCCUCUAAUGGAGCCUCUUCAUCAGUGAGCGUCGAUUAAUGACAUGAUAGAAGAACAUAAAUAUUAAGUUAUCAUAAGUGUGAUGUAAAUUAUGUUUGUUAAGAAAUAAAAUUAUUGUUCAAUGUGUUACAUAAGUUAGUUAGUUAGUGUAUUUAACAUGUUUGCAUAUUUAAAUUUUCUAUACUUAUAAUAAAUCUGUAGAGAGGUCAAUUCUGUACAUGAAAUAUAUUUGCAAAAUAACUAUCAGGCGGUGAUUAGUGAUCGAUACUGAUGCCAAAAAUGCAAUCAGUAAGAUUUUUGUCUGUCUGUCUGUAUGUUCGUUAUAGAAACAAAAACUACUCGAAGGAUUUUAACGAAACUCGGUACAAUUAUUCUUCAUACUCCUGGGCAGGUUAUAGUAUACUUUUCAUCACGCUACGAUCAAUAGGAGCAGAGCAGUGAAGGGAAAUGUUGGGAAAACGGGAGAAGUUACUUCAUUUUUUAGCUACCGUCGCGUGUGCAGCCUUAAGACCACUUUUUAAAAUGUAAAAAUGUCCACACGUGCGACGCCGGGACGGGCCGCUAGUUUUAUUUUUAUUUUAUUUUAUCUUUAUUUGGUCUCCUAGUAAUUGUUACACUGAUAAGAUUUAAUAUUAAAAUUACCGUCUAUUUAUACUUAGUGUACAAUCAUUUUAAAGGAAAAACAGCAUGCUAAUUAACAAAAACAAUAAUAUGGUAUAACAAUCUCUUGAAGUAUUUGACAUUGGUAUAGUUUUUUAGAUUCAGUAGAUGAUUGCUUCACAUAAGUUUUUUAGCUAUUUAAAUUAACUGUAAUGCUUUCCUAUAGAAAUCCCCUUCUGUAUCGAAGUGAAUAUCCAAGUGUUGCUUGCAAUCAUUCAACAGCUUGCAAAGACGUGGUACAGUGGAGUUGGCACCAAGAACAGUUCUACGGAACGGCACGGACAUUAGACUGAUGUAACUACGGGGAUAGUGUACGGGCAAUCGAAAAUUAAAUUUGGCAAGAAGCUGAGAACAGUCAAUUCUGUUCCUAAACAACUUAUAUAAGAACAUUAAAUCUAUUAAUGUUCUACGCUUAUCAAGUGAUACCAUAUUGAAAUAGAUAAGUCUGUCCCCGUAGGCCACCAAGGUCUUAGAUUGUCGAGCUGAAAAAGCCAAAUGCCAGAGAAACCUUUUUUGUAUACGCUCUAAUCUUAAAAUAUGGGUCGAAUAAUGUGGUCGCCAAACUAUCGAACCAUAUUCCAAGACGCUUCGAACUAAUGAAUAAUAUAAUUUUAUUUUAGUUUUUGGAUUUACAAAUUCCUUGGCAUUGCGAAUUACAAAACCUAAAGCUCUUGAUGCCUUUGCUAUUACAAACUCUAUUUGAGGUAAAUAUGUUAAUAGUUAGUUAGUUAAUAGUUGUUUUAUAUAUCUAAUAAAGCUCAAUUUGAAUUAAUUCAAUACAUUUAUAUAUAAAUACACACACACACAAAAUACGUGAAUUUACUGGGUACAGAAGAAUAACACCUGAGUCCUCAGGAAUGGCAACGCAUGGGGGGUAUCAUGGGCGAAACAGUAUACUCUGUUAUGUCCACGGUACUGCUCAUGUCUAUAAGCGACGGUUACCGCUUUCCAUCAGGUGGGCCGUCAGCUUGUUUGCCAUUCUAUGUUGUAUAAAAAAAAAAAAUAUAAAUACACAAUUAAACUUAUUGAAGUGUCAUUGAAAUCAACAAGCAUCAAACAUAAUAAAUCAACAUAGCGACUGUGUAUUUAGCUAAUGAUACUGUUUACUACAGUAGUGUCUCUCCUAGUUCUCGGGCGUACAAUCGCAACACGGGUACAAUCGAUAUACUCCAACACUCCUGGCAUUCCAAAUUUAUUAAAGCUAUAACAACAGAAUAAGAAUAAGCUAUAAGAACAAAACCAAAACAGCAUGUAAAGUAACGUAAAGUAAGUAACAUGAUGUAAAGUAUCACACACAAGCCAAAAAAAAAAAAAAAAAAAAAAAAAAAAAA